UAUGGAGGCCAAUAUGCAGACAAGGGAAGUAACUCAGGCAUUUUGGGGGAGAGGUACAGAAAGAAGAGAAACAAACUGACUGCUGUUCUGAACAAGAACUAUGACUAUAUGUGGUACUCUCAGAAUGGUGAAUAAUAUGGCUAUACUCUGAUUUCCUUUCAGACCCAUCCAGUGGCUGUCCUCUUGGCUUGGACUGAAGACCCCCUCUGGAGAACUAUCUCUGCAGCCUAUACUGAUGACACUGGCCACUGUCCAGGGCUCCACCCCAACGAGUCCAAGGCCCAGACAUUCAGCGUCAGAGAGAAUCCAGAUUUUGCAUUUCCAGUGCAGGGAUUGAUGGAGCCUUCAAGGAUAGUGUAUCAAAGUGCCAAUUUCUUUCUAACAGGCUGGGGAGGAUACCGCUGACAGCAGCAGAAAGGGGUAGCAGUGGUUUGCUUUCCAAAUGGUAAUAAGAAGGGCCUGGCAGUGGCACCCUGUCCAUGCAUCAUUAAAAAUGGACUCUCCUGCUUCAUUUGGAAUUCGACCCAAUGAACUUGAAUAAACUCUGGACAAUGACCAGCACAGAGCUCUGAGCAGGAUACAGCAAGAUUAUUUGCUUUACUCAUCCACUGAGUACCUACCAUAUGGCAAAUACUAUGCUAUAUGCAGAGUGUACACUGGUGAGUAAAACAGAUAUGGUCCUUGGAGCCUAUGAAUCUUACCGUCUAGCCACAAAUAAUAAAAAGUAAGAAGAAUCUGAAGGACAACUGGGACACAAAUGAUCUUAGCCAAAAGGCCGAGAAGAGAUCACAAUGCUUUUUAAAGGUAGCAUUUCACCCAGACAAUAAUCAAUCCCUCUGGCCUUCUUGAGGUGCAGGGCCACACAUUCAAAUUCUUUAAUCAAACAAUAGGCUAGUGCAAAUGGAGCUAUUUCUUAAACCCAGCUGUUUACACAGCAGCUACAAAUCUGUUCAGAAAGAAUCCCCCACCAUCCACAACUAUCUAUCGAGCAGAUGUGCAAGAGUAUUUGUCUCUCACCACCAGGGUUGCAGUCAGGACAAGAGAGCAGGUUUGAACGUCUUCGGCUCCUAGAACUUCACAAGCUGUGUCUUUUGUGCCCAGAGGCGGCUGCAACCUCUUCCCAGUUCUCCUUUUAGAACAAUGGCGAUUUUUUUUUAGAGGCGUAAUAAGGAAGGUUUGCAUUGAAUUAUUAAACAAUAGGCAUUGAAAAAUAUGUUUUCUUUGACCUCUGUACCUCUAGCUUUUACCAGUGUUUUCUUGUACCAAGGCUAAGAUAUGUAUAACACUGAAAUGGAUGUCUUCCUAUAUAAUAUUUUACAAGCUUUUGAAAACCUGUGCCCUUUAAUAAAUUUUAAAACAUCUCA